rnacentral:rRNA from 1 species
GCCGCGGUAAUUCCAGCUCCAAUAGCGUAUAUUAAAGUUGUUGCAGUUAAAAAGCUCGUAGUUGAAUUUCGGGAUUAGUACGUUGGUCGUGCCUUCGGUACGUACUGGUGUUACUGAUUCCUACCUUCUGACGAACCAUCAUGUCAUUAAUUUGGUGUGGCGGGGAAUCAGGACUGUUACUUUGAAAAAAUUAGAGUGUUUAAAGCAGGCUCGCGCUUGAAUACAUUAGCAUGGAAUAAUGAAAUAGGACGUUGACCCUAUUUUGUUGGUUUCUAGGAUUGACGUAAUGAUUAAUAGGGAUAGUUGGGGGCAUUAGUAUUCAAUUGUCAGAGGUGAAAUUCUUGGAUUUAUUGAAGACUAACUACUGCGAAAGCAUUUGCCAAGGAUGUUUUCAUUAAUCAAGAACGAAAGUUAGGGGAUCGAAGACCGAUCAGAUACCGUCGUAGUCUUAACCAUAAACUAUGCCGACUAGGGAUCGGAUGAUGUUAUUUUUAAUGACUCA